CCUACGGGAGGCUGCAGUGGGGAAUAUUGGGCAAUGGGCGCAAGCCUGACCCAGCAACGCCGCGUGAAGGAAGACGGCUUUCGGGUUGUAAACUUCUUUUCUCAGGGACGAAGAAAGUGACGAUACCUGAGGCAUAAGCCGCGGCUAACUACGUGCCAGCAGCCGCGGUAAUACGGCGGUGGCAAGCGUUAUCCGGAUUUAUUGGGUGUAAAGGGCGUGUAGGCGGGAGGGCAAGUCAGAUGUGAAAACUCAGGGCUCAACCCUGAGCCUGCAUUUGAAACUGUGUUUCUUGAGUGCUGGAGAGGCAAGCGGAAUUCCGUGUGUAGCGGUGAAAUGCGUAGAUAUACGGAGGAACACCAGUGGCGAAGGCGGAUUACUGGACAGUAACUGACGCUGAGGCGCGAAAGCGUGGGGAGCAAACAGGAUUAGAUACCCGAGUAGUC
rnacentral:rRNA from 1 species